rnacentral:rRNA from 1 species
AGCGAACGCUGGCGGCAUGCCUAACACAUGCAAGUCGAACGAGACCUUCGGGUCUAGUGGCGCACGGGUGCGUAACGCGUGGGAACCUGCCCUUAGGUUCGGAAUAACUCCCCGAAAGGGGUGCUAAUACCGGAUAAUGUCUUCGGACCAAAGAUUUAUCGCCUUUGGAUGGGCCCGCGUUGGAUUAGCUAGUUGGUAGGGUAAAAGCCUACCAAGGCGACGAUCCAUAGCUGGUCUGAGAGGAUGAUCAGCCACACUGGGACUGAGACACGGCCCAGACGCAGGGGGGAGGGAGGAGUGGGAAGUAGGGGAGAGUGGGAGAAGGGGCGAUCGAGAGAUGACGAGUUGGGGAUGAGGGCCUGAGUGUUGGAGAUCGCUUUGAAGGGGGAAGAAAAUGAUAGGCGGGGGAGAAUAAGCUACGGAUAACGGAGGGGCAGCGCCCGGGGUAAUAGGGGUAGGAGCACGCGUGUGAAC